UUACUACUCCCUCCGUUCGGAAUUACUCGUCCAAGAAAUGAAUGUAUCUAGAUGUAUUUUAGUUGUAGAUACAUCCAUUUUUGUGACAAGUAAUUCCGAACGGAGGGAGUAGUAG
rnacentral:pre_miRNA from 1 species